UGGGGAAUAUUGCACAAUGGGCGCAAGCCUGAUGCAGCCAUGCCGCGUGUGUGAAGAAGGCCUUCGGGUUGUAAAGCACUUUCAGCGAGGAGGAAGGGUUCAGUGUUAAUAGCACUGUGCAUUGACGUUACUCGCAGAAGAAGCACCGGCUAACCCGUCGCCAGCAGCCGCGGUAAUACGGAGGGUGCAAGCGUUAAUCGGAAUUACUGGGCGUAAAGCGCACGCAGGCGGUUUGUUAAGUCAGAUGUGAAAUCCCCGCGCUUAACGUGGGAACUGCAUUUGAAACUGGCAAGCUAGAGUCUUGUAGAGGGGGGUAGAAUUCCAGGUGUAGCGGUGAAAUGCGUAGAGAUCUGGAGGAAUACCGGUGGCGAAGGCGGCCCCCUGGACAAAAGACUGACGCUCAGGUGCGAAAGCGUGGGGAGCAAACA
rnacentral:rRNA from 1 species